UACAGAUUUAAUAAGAGUCAUUUAAGGCCUCCUACUGGAAAGGGAGCAUCUCUCCCCAGCCCAGCCACGCAGGCUGGCUCACCACCUGCCUUGGACCUUGACCUUUCUGAAUCACAUCAGUGCUGUGUGCAGUCAAGUCUGCUUCAGGUAAAUAACCACUGGGAUUACAGAGCCAUCAGACAUGGCCUGAUGGCCUUUUCUGAAGUCCAUGUUAAUGCAGUGCUUUCAAACACAGGCCAGACCAUGCUGGGGAAUAUUCUGCAUAAUGUAUUCUCAUUAGGAUUACAAUUGCAACCUGAUGUUUUGUAAUUGGGGUCACCUUUUUAAGAUAUGGUCAAAUAAUGAAUAUUUACAGGUAGCUGCUGAUGCAAUUUAGUAAUGCCAAAACAAAGUUCUGUGAACAUAAUUUUGAUUAAAAGUGAAAAGAUGAAAGGCAGGGGGAUAAUAGAGCACCAAGAAAAGAUAUAUCUUCAGUUACUUUGAUUUCACCUUUAAUUUUGCCUCACUUAAGCCACUUCUAAUAGUUAAGAUAAGAAGUAUUUUGGUCUCAUACUCUGAAAGUAGGAUCAGUAUCUAAACACAGAAAGGGUGGCACAGUACUCCUGCUGGGACCCAGCAGGUUCUUGGUUUAGGACUCCACAGCAAGAGCAAGCCCAUCUUCAGAGCACUCACUGAAAGGAGACAGGUCUUCUGCAGGCCUGUACACUGUGUUCAUAGUGCAUGGAACCACCUGCACAUACCUUACUAAAAUUUCUUCAGCAAGUCUUAUAUUAUGAACAUUUUUUAAUAUUAAAAAUCUGCACAUGCCAAAGUAGAUUGUUCCUUUGGAUUCCUGCAUAUCAUCCUACAAAAUAUAUGGGACAGAACCAGAUAAGUUCCUGUAUAGAUAAAAAAAUCAAAAAUACUAAUUUCUCUGAGUAGAAGCUUCAGGUUCAAAAGUCAUAUGCAACAGGAAAAUAAUGAUACAAAAUGUGAUUGAGCAUCAGUUACCCAGGGAACAACAGCAAUGCAGAUACCUGCAACUACUGAGGACUAAGCACAUCUUUCUCCACUAAUUCUUUCCAAAACUGUUUUUCCUAAUUCAGUCAUGUUUACUGUCAAUGGUGCUUCAGCUACAGAGUACACACUUUUCUAAGUUUUACCUGCAAUUGGGACUUACCUCAGUGAGAAAAACAUCUCCCUGGUUUGUACACUGGAGUGCUGGUGCUUGCUUUCAGAGAGGUUAUUUACUGAAGACAAACAUUUGCUGUUGGCUGAACUUCAGCCAGCUGGGCAAGAAGAACCAAUUUCUGCUUCCACCUUUUCCAGUAGGCACCACAGGAGCAGCAGCAAGGAUGCAAAUGUAGGAAGCAGGUCCCAGCACUGCUGGGUUGGGAAUCUGUGGAAAGUAACUUAGGGAGAAGGAGGAUGGAGAAUUUGAUUCCUUUGCUGCCACAAAAUCAGCAAUGAAUGUGUAAUAGAUACUUGGUAUAUCAGGGUGUUAUUUAUACAAAUACCACCAUUUAUACAAAUGGCUGCUGGAAUCUUUUUUCAAAGACAAAAUAGAGGAGCUACCUUUUCACAGUGGCGCCCAGGGAAAGGGCAAGAGGCAUUGAGCACAGGCUGAAAUACAGGAAAUUCCAUUUGAACUUAAGAAAAUACUUUUUCCACUAUGAUAGAUUGCACAGAGUCUGCAGCCUUGAAGAAAUACUUAAAGCUUGGCUGGACAUGGCCCUGAGGAGGCUGCUGUAGGUAGCCCUGCUCUGAGCAGGGAGGGGCCAGACUAGACAAUGUCCAGAGGUUCCUUCCAGCCUCAGCUAGUUCAUGACUCCAAGACAACCUUCUCAUUCAAUUAAAUGACUCAGCAACAGCCAAACACAAUCUACUGCUCUUAAAUCCAAGAAGACAUGCAAGUCCCUUCUCAUCUCUAUGCUCAUGGAGGUUUGUGCCUUUUCAGAUUGUCAUUAUAAGAUGUAAUGUUUCAUUACAGUUCUGGCAGUAAGGGCAGACUUAAAUCAAUUCCCUUUAUAGGGUCAAUUUUGAAUGUCGCCUGAACAAGUGUCACAGACAGACCCUGGAACACUUCUAAUGAGAACAGGAAAUUAAUCAAAGAAGUUACUGGCUGAGUAGAAAAUAUGUGAUAGUUUUAAUUGGGAUAACUGUGCCAGGAAAAAUACAAAAGUACCACUGCUUGAUCAUCACAGAAUCAGUAACAUAAUUUGUUUACACUCUGUGCCAGACAACACUAUGAAAUAUAAAGACCUAACCCUUACCAAAGAGAUAAAUAUUGUUAAAUAAUAGCUAUUACUGAAUUGGAGAACACAGCUGACACUAAUUUGUUAUCCUUUCCUGGUACAGAAACUGAACAAGACAGGCAGCUGGAAUACAGGAAAGAAACCUGUGUGCCAGUUGUAAGCCAAUUGGCAGACAAUUCGCUGGCAGGAAGAAAGAACUAGCAUCACAUAAAAAUAUUCAUCAGACAAGUUCGUUAAAGCGUGCUUACCACGUGAUAAGCACUGUUACUGUUUCAUACAAAACUGGCACGCAAUUAUACUUGGUGAGAUAAAGAUAUAGGGGAAAUACUGCAAUUGCAUUAAGAAAAUGCAGAGGAAUUUGGAUAGCAGAGUAGAGAAUGAGGCAGAGAAAAGGUGUUACAGAAGGUUCAAAAACAAAAAGUAACUAUUUUUUUUCCUAAGCCAUUAAGAGCUUUUCUUUCUACCCCAGUUUCAGAAAGGCCCAACCAUCUUCCUGUUAAUAUUUUUUCUUCCCCAGACAAGCAUAAGGAACAUUGUCACGUUCCCCAUCUAGUACAUUUUAAUGAUAGCUAAAACCAGCUGUUUCUUACCUCAGCUUUAGACCUUUCCUAAAGCCCAAAGCCUCCUGUUUGUCUUUUAUUGUGCAUAUUGUAGAGCAGCAUUAUAAACCACUUCCUUACCAUAACCAUCACCUCCUUUAGUUAUGUCAGGUUAAGCAAUACCAACAUCCAAGUAAAUUCAGUGCAAAACUUGCUGUUAACAGGAGCCCUGCUUUUCAAGGGGGCACCACCCCAACACAAAUCAUAGAGAAGCUAGAGGUUCAGAAGGGAGGAAGCUUCCUGCACUGCAGCACCAGUACAGCUCUUAAUAGUUGCCUUUUUUUUUUCGAUGAAUUAUAAGUUUUAAGAUAAACAUUAAGAAAUGUAUGUACAGAAUAGAAAUAAGAUUAUAGAACUUCUGUUCCAAGUACUUCAAUGCUGUAUGUGUGGAGUGCCAGGAAGACCUUUAACAACUCAGGAGGCAGAAAACUCUAGCCAGAUAUAGUUGUACAUUUCCUUUCUUUUAUCUUUGCUACACAAUAUCCUAGUGAUCUCCAGUGAGGAUAAGAACUCAACCCACCUCCCAGUUAAUUCAAAGAAGAUCUGUAAGUUUAUUUCAGUGUUUAAUAUAUCCUGCUCUUUUUAUCAGUAACAGUAUCUACUCAUAAAAUGAUCUACUUAAACACCUUUCAUCCAGCACAGAUAUUCCUUUACAAUAUUCUGAGAAACUUUAGUACAUCUUAAAACUGAGAUAGAAGUCUGACAUAGAAGCAAUAACUCCCUUCACAUGGCUGUUUGUGAUUUCAGGGAUUUUCUUUUUAGUGUUACCCAUCUGGUAACCUUCAAAAGCCACUAAUUGUAAAAUCACAGAGAUAGCAGCCAAGCACUUAACAUUAGGCAAAAAUACACACAAGAUAAUCCACAAAGCUGGUACUUGCCCGUGUGAAAGAAGCCUACACUCACCUAUCUUUCCAGUUAAUGCUGCUCCAGCAGCAGAAAUCUUAUUGACUGACCUUUAUACAGCUUAGGUGUGCGUGGGGAAGAAGCACCAUUGGAAGUAAAGGUUCAUGGGAGGUGAUUAAUUAAUUUUAAGGGUGAUUGGUUUCAGGUUUUAUGUGUGAGUGAUUGACAGGAGAAAGGAGCAUUGUAGCUGGGAGCAGCCUAAGGUUUUUUACAGCUGUGAAAGCCAAGACACAGGAGUGGUCAGUGGACAGACUCGGAUGUAGAGUGCCUGUAGACGGCUGGAGAUGCAACAGAUCACCGUGCAGGAUGGUAGUGGGAGAGCUGGGGAGGGAGUAAGAGACGAGUUUGUCCACAGUCAAUUGCCCAAGAGAAGCUCUCCUUCCCCAGGGCUCAGCCUAGAGCUCUUUUGCUUUAUUUUUUUUGUGGACUUCUACCAGCCUGAAGGUGUCAGCUCUAUUUUGUUGUUGCCUAUGGGCAUCUGGCUCUGGGUGUUGCUCCUGAGCUCCAAGAGGAUGAUUCCUCUGGUCUUUUCAGAGUAAUCUACAAGACGCUUCCUUAUCCCGCAUUUUUCAGAAGAUACAUCAAUUCCUAACAUCCCUAAUCCUUUAAAUCCUGUGAAUUUUGGUGCUUUGACUUUUCAGUUCAAAUAUUCCUUAAUAUUAAUCAAACAAACAAAGGGAGGUGUUGCUCUGGAAGGGGAGUUAAUGUAUUGGUUUGAUGCUUGCAACGGCUUCUGAAAAAGGAAGAAAUCCUACAGAGUGUUUAAAAAGUUAGGGUCUAAGCUAUUUUCAGGCCUUGGACCACAGCAUCAUGACCUUGUUUUGUUGAAGACAGAGGUUCUGAGUUGAUUUAUACUUUAUUUAUCCUGAGCAUUUAGUCCUCUCCCAAUUUCCUCACAGAGAAACAAGGAGAGAAGGAAGCAGCAAAGAAGAAAUGGAUAAGUGAAGAGAGACCAAGAAAAUAAGUUGCUGGAGGUGGAAAAUGUCCAGCAACCUGUGGGUUUCAUAUGCUGAUCCACCUGAACAUUGUAAUUUUGACCUUCCUAAAGCACCUCUGGGUUAAAAAACGUGCUCCAAGAUGAAUAAGUGAAAGAUAGAAGAGCUGAGGUGUGGGUGGCUGGGGAGUGAAGCUGCCCUGUGAUAUGUCAAGGCUUUCCCUUGAGCUGUCUCCUCCUGGUCCAGCUCACUGGUGUUGUGGGAGUAGAGAAAAGUCCUGUCCAUCCCACCUGGCAUCUGGGAACUGACAGCUAACCAUGGGAGUUCCCACCUAAAAACCAAUGUUACUUGAUCUUCCUGAUAUUUUCAGGUGAUUAACAACUAUAAAAUGGUUCUGCAAUGAACAAUAGCCUUCAGCGAAUUCUAAUCUAUACUAAAACAUAAUUCUAGUGUCAGUGCCUUGAAAUGAAUUUUUGGAACAAAUUAAAAAUAUUUGAUUCUUAAUAGUUUGUUAUUCUGUGAUAAAUUCACAAGUUCAGUCUAUUAGAAUCAUGUAAAUUGGCUUUUUGGAGUAUAUUUUAUGUUUUAUUGCACAUUAAUGUCAUUUAAUUGUAGAGUUCAAUAACACCUCAAAUUACUCUCUGAUUAAACAAGAGGGAAUGAAUACAAGAACUUUGAUAUGAUUAAUAUUUAUUUAGUCAGUUUUGUUACUUCUCCUUAUACCCUUUAUGGAUAACUGCCUAGUACUUACAUAAUUUUUGUUCUUUCUGCAAGACUGCAGUACACUUUUGUUGGUUGUAGCAUUACCUUGGAAUGUGAAUGAAGAUCUCAUUUAGCUCAAAUGCACUAUGGUUGUGCUUCUGCAGCCUCUAAAGAGCACACCUCCAUCCAUUCCAGCCCAGGAUGCCAGCCAUCUAUAGGUUCCAGAAUAAAUGUUAUGUCUUGGAAAUUAUUCUAAUCCUGUGAACAAACUUGUCAUGGUGAAUGAUGAAUUAUUUCUCUUUUUUGUUUGUUUUCUGUUAAUUAACUUCUCUUGUACCAGAAGUUAUUUGUUCCACUAAAAUAUACAGGAAUGCGAGAAGUUGGCAAUCUUGAUUUAUGGCUUUCACCUCAUAAUCUAUUUUUCAAAAAUGCACUAUUCAAAUUUGCUUUUAGUGCUAGAUGAGAGAUCAUUAACCUGCUCUCUUGAGGGCAAGCAUACCAGUAAAGGCAGGCAGAAGUUCAGGAAAGCUACACCUCCAGAUAACGUAAAGGAAAAACUCUUCAAAUGCAAACAUGGCAUUAGCACAGCAUGACUACGGCAGCCAUGGAAAGAACAACAAACC